rnacentral:rRNA from 1 species
AGGAUGAACGCUGGCGGCGUGCCUAAUACAUGCAAGUCGAGCGGUAAGGCUCCUGCAGGUUAUUUGAUCGAGUAUCGAAUAACGCGCUGGAGUACACGAGCGGCGGACGGCUGAGUAACACGUAGGAACGUACCCCAAAGUGAGGCAUAAGCACCAGAAAUGGUGUCUAAUACCGCAUGUGAUCUUCGGAUUAAAGCUUCGGCGCUUUGGGAACGGCCUGCGCAUGAUUAGCUUGUUGGUGGGGUAAUGGCCUACCAAGGCGACGACGGGUA